CCAAUAGCGUAUAUUAAAGUUGUUGCAGUUAAAAAGCUCGUAGUUGAAUUUCGGGGUCAGUAGGUCGGUCGUGCCUACGGUAUGUACUGGUCUCACUGAUUCCUCCUUCUUGAAGAACCGUAAUGUCAUUAACUUGGUGUUGCGGGGAAACAGGACUGUUACUUUGAAAAAAUUAGAGUGUUUAAAGCAGGCCAACGCCUGAAUACAUUAGCAUGGAAUAAUGAAAUAGGACGUUCGAUCCUAUUUUGUUGGUUUCUAGGAUUGACGUAAUGAUUAAUAGGGAUAGUUGGGGGCAUUAGUAUUCAAUUGUCAGAGGUGAAACUCUUGGAUUUAUUGAAGACUAACUACUGCGAAAGCAUUUGCCAAGGGUGUUUUCAUUAAUCAAGAACGAAAGUUAGGGGAUCGAAGACGAUCAGAUACCGUCGUAGUCUUAACCAUAAACUAUGCCGACUAGGGAUCGGAUGAUGUUAAUUUUUUAAUGACUCAUUCGGCGCCUUACG
rnacentral:rRNA from 1 species